UGGGGAAUUUUUGUCAAUGGGGGCAACCCUGAACAAGCAACGCCGCGUGAAGGACGAAGACCUUCGGGUUGUAAACUUCUGUCGGAGGGGACGAAAGCAGUGGUGGUUAAUACCCACUCUUGUUGACGGUCCCCUACGAGGUAGCACCGGCUAACUCCGUGCCAGCAGCCGCGGUAAUACGAAGGGGGCUCGCGUUGUUCGGAAUUACUGGGCGUAAAGGGCGUGUAGGCGGACCAACCAGUCAGGGGUGAAAUCCCGGGGCUCAACCUCGGAACUGCCUUUGAUACUGUUGGUCUUGAGGACGGGAGAGGGUCGUGGAAUUCCCAGUGUAGAGGUGAAAUUCGUAGAUAUUGGGAAGAACACCGGUGGCGAAGGCGGCGACCUGGACCGUAUCUGACGCUGAGGCGCGAAAGCGUGGGGAGCAA
rnacentral:rRNA from 1 species